rnacentral:rRNA from 1 species
UACGGAGGGGGCUAGCGUUGUUCGGAAUUACUGGGCGUAAAGCGCGCGUAGGCGGAUCUGCAAGUCGGGGGUGAAAUCCCGAGGCUCAACCUCGGAACUGCCUUCGAUACUGCGGGUCUCGAGUCCGGGAGAGGUGAGUGGAAUUCCUAGUGUAGAGGUGAAAUGCGCAGAUAUCGGGAGGAACACCGGUGGCGAAGGCGGUUCUCUGGGCCUGACCUGACGCUGAGGAGCGAAAGCGUGGGGAGCGAACAGG